GACGAACGCUGGCGGCGUGCUUAACACAUGCAAGUCGAACGGAAAGGCCCUGCAUUUGUGGGGUGCUCGAGUGGCGCACGGGUGAGUAUCACGUGAGUAACCUGCCCUUGACUUUGGGAUAACUUCUGGGAAAUGGGGCUAAUACCCGAUAGGAGAUCCUGAUGCAUGGUGGGGGUUGGAAAGUUUCGGCGGUUGGGGAUGGACUCGCGGCUUAUCAGCUUGUUGGUGGGGUAGUGGCGUACCAAGGCUGCGACGGGUAGCCGACCUGGGAGGGUGACCGGCGACAUUGGGACUGAGGGACGGCGCAGACGGCUACGGGAGGCAGCAGUGGAGAAUAUUGCACAAUGGGGGGAGGUCUGAUGCAGCAACGCCGGGAGCGGGAUAACGGCUUUCGGGUGAUAAACCGCUUUCGCCUGUGACGAAGCGUGAGGGACGGUAAUGUGUAAAGAAGCACCGGCUAACUACGUG
rnacentral:rRNA from 1 species